AUGUUAAUCAUAGAUGAGUUUGAGGCAGCGUGGGGUAUUUUCUUAGAUAAAUACAACUCGAGGAAACAUACCAGCAUGACACAGUUGUAUGAGAUCAGAUUAAAGUGGGAUAAGCGGUGCUUCAAGGGAGUUUUCUGCGCCAAAAUGACAAGCAUUCAACGCAGCGAAAGUGCCAAUCACAUGCUAAAGACCUACAUUCCACCAGCGAGUCCAAUGCACGUGUUUGUGAGGCAAUACAUGAGGCUGCAGUUCGAUCGAGAGCGAGAGGAAAGCUAUGAGGAGAAGAGGACAAUGAUUGGUGGAGCAGUGAGGAGAACUAAUUUGGCAAUAGAACGGCAUGCAAGUAGGAUAUACACGAGAGCAAUGUUUGAAGAGUUCGGGCGACUACUGAUUGAAGCCACUGCCUACAAUAUCACCGAAAUAGAGAAGAUGAGAAAAUAUGUAACGGUCCACAACAAUGCAGCAAAAAGAAAAAAAAUGGAGCAGGGUUGA
rnacentral:rRNA from 1 species